GCGAGUCUGAAUAGGGCGAUCAUAGUUUGGUGUAUUAGACCCGAAACCCGGCGAUCUAGGCAUGACCAGGAUGAAGGUGUGGUAACACACACUGGAGGUCCGAACCGAUUAACGUUGAAAAGUUACCGGAUGAGUUGUGUUUAGGGGUGAAAGGCCAAUCAAGCCGGGAAAUAGCUGGUUCUCCGCGAAAACUAUUGAGGUAGUGCCUCAGACGAACACCGCAGGGGGUAGAGCACUGGAUGGGCUAGGGGGUCGCGAGAUCUACCAAACCUAACCAAACUCCGAAUACCUGCGA
rnacentral:rRNA from 1 species